rnacentral:lncRNA from 1 species
AAAAAGGGAGGCUAUGUGCUUCAUUAAUGAAAACCUUGUGAAGAGGAUACUAGCAUGGGAAUAGAAUCAGCUAAAUCUUGAGAGCAAGGAGGUGUUUGUUAUAACUGUUGCAUAUUGUACCAAUAUAUUUCAUGCAAUUCUUUAAAAUUCCUAAAGAGAAUCGGUGAUGAAAUUAAUACAGCAAUGGCGAGAUUUUUGUGGGGACAGCAAGCAGAGGAAAGAAAGAUGCAUUGGGUGAGAGGUGGUUUCAGCUUAUUGAUAU